rnacentral:lncRNA from 1 species
AUGUUUCUGAGCGGAAGGGGCGGGGCAAGGGGAGAAGAUGAACGGGGGGAGGGGAGGGAUGCCCUUUGCAUCCAGCGCGCCUGCGCAAACCAGUUGUGUGGGAGCUCACGCCUUCAUGCUUUCCCUCGCUUGGGCUGGCGCGUGCGGUGUCGUCGGCCUCGCCUCGCCUCGGCGNUGACCUGCAGGGAGGCGGGUGUCGAAUGGCAGCAAACGAGUGUGAGGCUAGGGUUGAGCAGAAGGAGUGGGGACAUGGGCGGAGCUUGCAUGUUUCUGAGCGGAAGGGGCGGGGCAAGGGGAGAAGAUGAACAGGGGGGAGGGGAGGGAUGCCCUUUGCAUCCAGCGCGCCUGCGCAAACCGGUUGUGUGGGAGCUCACGCCUUCAUGCCUUCCCUCGCUUGGGCUGGCGCGUGCGGUGUCGUCGGCCUCGCCUCGCCUCGGCGGCGCCCGCCUGUUGGUUCUUUGUCGGCUUCCCAGCUGCCGUGUGACCCCCUGGGCCUGCAGCCCGGCCGCCACCUGGUCCACUUGCAGCCCCGCCGCCGCCGCCAGCGCCCCAAAUAGUCGUUGCGUCCUGAAAGCCGAUAAAGAAUUUCAGGAUGACGAACACGACCGUGGGAACAGCAGCGAGAGGGCAGACUUGGUGACGGAGAUCCGGACAUCGAGUGUAUUUUAUAGGAGUGAAUGCAUGCAUCUUAGUGACACCAGCAUUAGGAGGAGUGAUUCCAACUUUUUACCCCAAAAUAACUCUUCAGCAUCAUUCUUUACAUGACCAUUUAUCUUUGAAGAAUGAACUUCUCUUCAGGAUCUAUUUUUGGGAAUGAACAAUGCCUGGUUAGCCAGACCAACCUGUCAAUCAGUGAGGUGACAUAGUCCAGUUGUGUAUAAACCCUAAAGGUCUAAAUCACUAAGAUUUUAUGAACAUUUUUGCUAAUAUUAUGAAGCUUGGCCACGUUGUGUAUCAUAAUGGGCAGUUGCCUUGCUGUCUGAAGACUUUUUUUGGCUACUCAGAAACCUCUUUUCUUGAUAUGUGGCCACAUAGUUUUUUAAUUGUCAAAGAUUUAUUUUGAAUGUGUUUCACAUAUCAUAUAGAAUUUAUCGUUUCCCUAAAAUAAGGAUUAUUCUUUAUUUAAUUUUUUAAAGUUUUAUUUAUUUAAGUAAUCUCUACACUCACCAUGGGGCUUGAACCCAGGACUUCAGGAUCAAGAGUCACAUGCUCUUCCUGAGCCAGCCAAGCGUCCCAAGGAUUAUUCAUUUUUAGUGAGGUGGAAAAACACUGAUUUAGUCACCCACAGUUAUUAUUAAAGCUAUUAAGAAUUGUUGGUCAACUCUUACAGUAUUAUUUCCAUAGCUUCUGUAAAAUCAAUCUGCUCAAUAGCUUUCCCAUAAUUUAGGUUAUUUGAAUUAAGAGUGGCCAUAACAGUUGGCAAAUGUACAGUGCUUUAAUUUUAAAAGGAUUUUUGCAUGGAUGAUACCAUUUGAUGCGCCCAAUAACUCUUUAGUGGCACUCUUUAAGUGACAAAGCAGGGUUUUUUUCUUUUGUUUUAUUUUUUUUCUCAUUUUACAGAUAAGAACCCGAGGCUCAGGGAGAUUAAAAGAUUGGUCUUAAAAUGAGUAAGUAGUAGAACUGGGUCCUGAAACUUUCUUCCUGACUGCCAAGUGCAGGCUCAGAACGUCCCUCUACUCUAGUUGAUUCUUUUAAGUAUCUUCCUAUUAAUACGCAUGAUGCUCCUUUCCAUUGGCUUCAUUGUUUUUUCAGCACAGGGGCUUCC